rnacentral:rRNA from 1 species
UACGUAGGGUCCGAGCGUUGUCCGGAGUGACUGGGCGUAAAGCGCGCGCAGGCGGCCUGUUAGGCACGACGUGAAAGCCCCGGGCUCAGCCCGGGAGGGUCGUCGUGAACCGGCGGGCUUGAGGCCGGUAGAGGUGGGUGGAACUCCUGGUGGAGUGGUGAAAUGCGUAGAGAUCAGGAGGAACACCGAUGGCGAAGGCAGGUCUCUGGGCCACUACUGACGCUGAGAAGCGAAAGCAUGGGGAGCGAACAGG